rnacentral:rRNA from 1 species
GCCCUUAGAGUUUGAUCCUGGCUCAGGAUGAACGCUGGCGGCGUGCUUAACACAUGCAAGUCGAACGAGGGAUUUUGGAUGAGACUUCGGUAGAUUCCGAAAUACCGAGUGGCGGACGGGUGAGUAACGCGUGGGCAACCUGCCCUGUACAGGGGGACAACAGCUGGAAACGGCUGCUAAUACCGCAUAAGCGCACGGUAUUGCAUGAUACAGUGUGAAAAACUCCGGUGGUACAGGAUGGGCCCGCGUUGGAUUAGGUAGUUGGUGGGGUAACGGCCUACCAAGCCGACGAUCCAUAGCCGACCCGAGAGGGUGACCGGCCACAUUGGGACUGAGACACGGCCCAAACUCCUACGGGAGGCAGCAGUGGGGAAUAUUGCACAAUGGGGGAAACCCUGAUGCAGCGACGCCGCGUGAGCGAAGAAGUAUUUCGGUAUGUAAAGCUCUAUCAGCAGGGAAGAAAAUGACGGUACCUGACUAAGAAGCCCCGGCUAACUACGUGCCAGCAGCCGCGGUAAUACGUAGGGGGCAAGCGUUAUCCGGAUUUACUGGGUGUAAAGGGAGCGUAGACGGCAAGGCAAGUCUGAUGUGAAAGGCUGGGGCUCAACCCCGGGACUGCAUUGGAAACUGUCCUGCUGGAGUGCCGGAGAGGUAAGCGGAAUUCCUAGUGUAGCGGUGAAAUGCGUAGAUAUUAGGAGGAACACCAGUGGCGAAGGCGGCUUACUGGACGGUAACUGACGUUGAGGCUCGAAAGCGUGGGGAGCAAACAGGAUUAGAUACCCUGGUAGUCCGCGCGGUAAACGAUGAAUACUAGGUGUUGGGUGUCACAGACAUUCGGUGCCGCAGCAAACGCAAUAAGUAUUCCACCUGGGGAGUACGUUCGCAAGAAUGAAACUCAAAGGAAUUGACGG